rfam:Lactobacillus ruminis ATCC 27782, complete genome.
UAAUAAAAGCUGGGGUGCCGUUUGGCUGAGAUGAUACCCAUUGACCUGAUCUGGACAGUGCCAGCGUAGGGAGCUUUGACGAUCAAGAA